GCUUUCGUGGUGUUGUGGUCUGCACGUUCAACUUGUAACUGAGAGGUCCGUGGUUCUAUUCCUGGCGAAGGCG
rnacentral:tRNA from 1 species